rnacentral:lncRNA from 1 species
CGGGCUUUUGGGCUCGGACCUGUUCUGUUAACUCUACACAAGAUCAAAAUUAACUUAACAAAAAAAAAUCCAAAUAUCACUACAACUAGAACAUAAAGAGACAUUACAAAUGGAAAUUGAACACCUGAAAUUCCUCGGAGGUGGAGCCAGCACACGAUCCGAAUCAAAUAAACAGAGACUUGUGCACGGAACAUGUUAGAUAAUGAAAGCAUACUAAGCUUUUAGAUAAUAAAAGCAUACUAAGCUUAAAUUCAACAACAUAUAAUCAUUACGACAUGAAUUCAAACCACAAAUUACUAACAUUUUUAUAAUUUUCUCAAUCAUUUACGCCACGAAUCAUAUAUUCUCAUCAUUUUCAAAGACUACUUCUCAUACUUAUUACCAAAUACUUUGCUCAUACACAACAUUCAAUUUUAUUAUAACAUAGUUAGAUUGUAGCCUUUAUUAAUCGAGCAUGAAAAUCUUGGAUACAUGAUACUCCUAAACACAUCAAGUUACACAUGAGUGCCAUAACAUAAAUGAAACCCCAUUGUGAGUAAUAACACAACUUCCAACCCAACACACCAUACAAGUGCAUAGCACUAAAACACCCUCCAAACACGAACAUGUAUAAGAUCUAAUAAGAAAACCCUCCCAGCACACCAAAAACUCCUGGGCGCAUUAAGCUAAUGUAACAAUAAUCACAAAAGAAUUAAGCUCAUUAUACCAUAGCAUCCCAACUAUACCUGAUCACAUUCCAAGAUUGUUUAAUAAGGCUGUUUUAACAAUUUAAGCAUAUUUACUACUAAUAAUAAGCAUCGUAAGCAUCACCUUGACACUCACAUAAAUCAAUACUCCUACUAAGUUUCAUACAAAAGCAUGCUCAACCUCAACAAAACAUCUCAAAUGUGUAAUUGACUCAUGCUUCCAUAGUUCUAAGACUUUCUCCUUCCCCUUAGCUUUGGAACUUUCUCCAAUCUCAUUAACUUCAUUUUCAAAUCAAAAGAGUAGAAAUGGGUUCUUAAAAUCAUAAUUCAACCAUUGAAACACUUAGAAUUAUUGAAGCAACGCAAUUCCAUAAAGCGAGAUUCCAUUUCGUUUCCUAAGAUUCGCAAGAGAACUCUUUCGACCCCCAACCAAAGCUAACCAAAUCUAAUUCCUAUCGAUUCAACUGUGAUUCAAAGUCUAUAACUUUACCAAAACUCUCCUAGAAAUCAAGAAAACCUCAACACAACUCACUUUCUGUCUCUAGACUGUUUAAUGACAACCCUCCAAAACUCAACUUAAAUUCCAAAUAAAUAUGAAAUUUCCUAUUCCCACAUGAUUCUAGAAUUAAAACCAUUGAGAAACUAACUAAAAAACAACACAAAACUAAAGUUCUCUCUAGCAUUGAAAAACGACGAAAAUGAAUAUAUAAAAUAGAAAAAAAUGCUUAAUUCUUGAAAAAUCUUGAAUCCUAAGAGCUUAAAAUGAUUUAAAUUCUCAAAACCAUUAAAUCUUUAACCUCAUUUCGUUGAAAAUCAUCAGGAAUUGAAAAUCUACCUUUCUUGGAAGCUAACGUGAAAUGCUCAACGGAAGAAGAAAAUUUGAUAUUCAAGCUUGUAAAACUAAAAAGACUGAUAAAAAUUAGUGACAAAAUAAAUUUACCUUGCUGGAAAUUGAUUCCUGGAGCCAAAAACUGAAGAAAAUGGAUACAGAAUUUGAGAAAUGAUUUUGGU